CCUGCACGUCACUGCAGGAAAUACACGUGCUGCGUACUCCCCUGGCCUUCGACCCCGGGACGUGAUGACGACACUAGCGAGGGACCGGGGUCAGAUGAGGUUGCCAGGCAGCGGGCACCAGCCAAUAGGGGAAGAGCUUGGCCAACGCUGCUUGGCAACCGAGGAGGAAAAAAAAAAAGUGCGGCUGCCUGAAAGGAGGCACCGGGGUGAAGACAUGAUGCGGUGGUCAUCACAAAGAUUUAAAAAAAUGAACACAGGAAGUAAUUAGAACAUAAACAAGUGCGCAUGAAAACAAGUGGGAACAAUCUAAAGAGGCGAGGACCUUUCAAGAUGAGAUGAAAAGAUGCAGACAUGAAUGGCACAGCAAUGAAGAAAUGAAUAAUACACGAGGAGAUGACGACAUGAAAAGUGGGUGAAAAAACGAGGAGGCAACAAGAGGAAUACAAGUGGCGACAUGAAGAGGUCGGUCCAAGGACGGAGAAGGAAACCUUCAAGUAUGAAGACAUGAAAAGAUGUGGAUGAUGAAGUUGCGAAGACAUGAAUGGUGACGAACGGAAGAGCUUCUUUCACACGGUUCUUGGGGUCUCACAGCGGUGAGCCAGGAUGAUGUUUGCACACGCACGCGAGCGUCACGCGAGCGUCACUCUUGACCGUCCUGUCACGACACAUCAGACUUUGACUGUACUGUAAAUCUUUUAUUGUGUUGACAAACUGGACAGGAAGUCGUCCAAAUAAAUUACUUUUGCUGC